AGAGAAAAUUCUCAAAAGAAAAUGGAAUUUUACUUUUUUUCUCUCUUUAUUUAGAUAUAUAGAAAGAUUUCUUUCUAAACUUAUAACAAAUUCAAUUAAGAAUUUGUUUUAACGUUCAUUGACAUAUUGAGAAAUGUUUUUUAGAUUUUAAAUCUAAAAGACGAUUUUCUAUUUUUUAGAAUUUAUUCUAAAAAGUAGUCUAACAAUCAUUAACAACAAUGAUUUUUUAUUUUUUAGAAUUUAUUCUAAAAAGUAGACAAUCAUUUAAUAACAAUUUUAAGCAUUUUUAGUAGAUACUAAAAAAUAUUG
rnacentral:misc_RNA from 1 species